GGCAAGGAGGGACGCGAGGCGCUAGGUGAAGUGGGGAGAGAGACAGGGUGGCGGCAGCGGAUCUUUCCGGUGUGCAAAAUAUUGAAGUUACUUGGAGCUCGCCUUUGGCGUCGGGAACGGGCCAUGGGGCAGCCAGCGCCCCUUGCUCUUCGGGGCAUAGAAUCGGGACAAAGGUGUGGGGGGAGCGGGGAGCGAGUCAACCUUUAUUCAGUCCGAGAAGCUUUGGGGUGCGGUAGACACACAAGACGGGGAGAGGGACGAGAAGAAAGCAAACGGGGAGUGAGAGGUUUUCAAGCCACGGCGUUAUUGGGCUCUGUGGGCCAGCAUUGGGCAGGAGAGAAAAUGGCGACCAGCAGGACCCCGUAGCCCCAGGGUUCCCUCCCUGUUUGGAUUUGAGACCGGUGGGAGCGGGGGCUUCCAGCCAACCUGCUUUUAGCACAAGCUUAGGUUCCCAGAGCAACUGCGCCCAGGCGCUUGCAAAAGUCUCAACGCCUCCAUGCGCGUGCUCGCGCUCCCCCCCUCCUAUGACAUCACGGCUCAUUACCCGGGAAACGCCAAUGACAUCAGCAGACAAAAAGGAAUGCGGGUCUUGGGAGUUGCUAAGCCCGUCGCGCGAGUAAAGCUUAAGGCAAUCUCGAGGGGGAAAGAUUGUGUGGCGUGUGCACAAUACAAGCGGCUUCCAAGUCCCAAAUAGGUUUGCACUGUCUGCAGUAGACAUUCAAAUGGCCAGAACGCAGAGGCGUAACUAUAGGAGGGGCAGGGGGGCACGUGCCCCGGGCACCAUCUUUUCUGGUCACGUGGGGGGCGCCACCAUGACAAAAAAAAUUUUUUUUUAAAUUUUUUAAAAUUUUUUGGUUAAUACAAAUGUUUCCUGCUCAGUGCAGCAGCGCUGCAGCAGUCAAGGGAGCGCAUCGGCGCCCCCUCCCUCACGAGCGGUCCCUUCCGCGCCGCCCGUGCCCCCCGCCAUUGCUUUGCUGGCGCCUGGCGGCCAGUCAGUGGCCUGGCUUGGUGACGGCGGGCGCUUGUGAGGAAAAACCUAAUGUAGUAUGUUGGGGGGGGUGGGGGGCGCGGGGGGGCGCCAUUUCAGUGCUUGCCCCGGGCGCCGUUUUCCCUAGUUACGCCUCUGCCAGAACGGAGCCCAUCAUCGGCAUGCUUGCUCCCCCGCCUCCCCCAAGUGAUUCUGCUGCAAGUGACUGAUGGCUCAGUCUGCGGGACUCAGGGGCGCAGCGCGCCUGCUGCUCCUCCUGGGGCUCCUUCUCCCUCCCUCCCUCCCUCGUCAGCAUGGAAGGUAUGGAGCAGAGUCACGACCACCAGGCCCAGCCAGCCGGAUGGGUGUGAGCUGAAGCAGAAAGCCGGAGCGUAACCCAUGGAGCAGCCGAGGCAGGGGAGGAGGAGCCGGAGUCGCCUUUCAGCGCCUUUUAUGCCGGAGCACGUGCUGUGGUGGUAGAGUGAAAGGCAGAGCAAUGUGCUUCCAUCCACACAGCGCUACAGGAGGGUUUCCAGGCAGUCUCGGCCUCCCGUCCCUGUCCCUCCUUGCUGAAGAUAUAACCCAGCACGACUUCUGUCAUAAUGAAACUACAGGCGUCCCAAGGGGUGGAGUGUGCAUGGAUUCAGCACUGCAACACCUUCAGAGGGGAUGCACGCUCCGGGGAGAGAUGCAGACCAACCACUCUGCCGAGAAAUGCUAAGGAAUCCUCCCCAUUGUCUCCUUCCUUGGGACCUUGAAACCAGGAGAGAAUUUCACGGAUCUCUUAGCAAAUCCACCGGUUAGGACAUGUGAGAGCUGCAAGGAGAGGGAAGUCUCACAGCCUCAUUCUCCCUUCAGCACUGUGGAGAACAAGGAAGGAUGAACUGCUGACCGUGCAAGGUGCCAAUUAGCUCCGGAUAUCAGGGUUUUCAGUGUUCCCUAAGGAGGCAGUGGGGCAGGGAAUACCAACCUUGAAGAUGUCAACCUGUGGCUUGAUAUAUUGUUCUAUAGCUAAGAUUUUUGUAAACCGCUUUGGGAGGUUCACCUGGAAGCAGUGAAUAAAUGCAAAAACAUAAAAUAAAAUAGAAUGAAAUAAAAUAAAACCAGUUUGGUGACAAGGCACUUUAAGGAAUGCUGCCCCCUCCCCCCAUAUGAGGCUCCUUGCCCAUGA